CCUACGGGUUGCUGCAGUGGGGAAUAUUGGACAAUGGGCGAAAGCCUGAUCCAGCCAUGCCGCGUGUGUGAAGAAGGCCUUCGGGUUGUAAAGCACUUUCAGUGGGGAAGAAAGCCUUGGGGCUAAUACCCUCGAGGAAGGACAUCACCCACAGAAGAAGCACCGGCUAACUCCGUGCCAGCAGCCGCGGUAAUACGGAGGGUGCGAGCGUUAAUCGGAAUUACUGGGCGUAAAGCGCGCGUAGGCGGUCUGAUAAGCCGGUUGUGAAAGCCCCGGGCUCAACCUGGGAACGGCAUCCGGAACUGUCAGGCUAGAGGGCAGGAGAGGAAGGUAGAAUUCCCGGUGUAGCGGUGAAAUGCGUAGAGAUCGGGAGGAAUACCAGUGGCGAAGGCGGCCUUCUGGACUGACACUGACGCUGAGGUGCGAAAGCGUGGGUAGCAAACAGGAUUAGAUACCCGAGUAGUC
rnacentral:rRNA from 1 species